CAGUAGCCGCGGGAAUACGUAGGGUGCGAGCGUUAAUCGGAAUUACUGGGCGUAAAGCGGGCGCAGACGGUUACUUAAGCAGGAUGUGAAAUCCCCGGGCUCAACCUGGGAAUUGCGUUCUGAGCUGGGUGGCUAGAGUGUGUCAGAGGGGGGUAGAAUUCCACGUGUAGCAGUGAAAUGCGUAGAGAUGUGGAGGAAUACCGAUGGCGAAGGCAGCCCCCUGGGAUAGCACUGACGUUCAUGCCCGAAAGCGUGGGUAGCAAACAGGAUUAGAUACCCCCGUAGUCCCUGUCUCUUAUAC
rnacentral:rRNA from 1 species